CUGGGCGCUGCCGGUCCUGAGCCACCGGCGAUGUGUCCUUAGUGUGUGCGGGUCGGGUGCUAGGCGUCUCGUAGCGGGGUUUGAGAUCCCUCGGGGUGCUUUAGGGGCGGACUCGGCCCCUCGGAGCCACCUGCAGCUCAGGGCGCUUUGGGGCCGAGCCUCCGCCGCUUGCAGGCGAGGGAGGUGAGACUUGGGGUGCUGUGGUGGUUCAGAGCUGCAGCCGUAGCGCGUUCGGCCCUCCUGGAAACGUGGCAGCCGUGGUAGGCGGUCCGCAGGGCUGCCGCGGUCUGAUGGGUUAAACCGAAGGACCGCACAGCGCCGCUUGAAAGUGCCGUCACGGUGAUAGGUAAAUAAGCAUUGCUGCCGGGGAGGCGGGUCACACGCCUCUUUGAAUGGGAACGGUGGAUCCCUUCUGCGGCCUCCAGUCAGUCCCAUUCUUCAGGUGUCAGCAGUUCUGUGAAAUUACAGUUUACACGAGAGAGAGGUCAAGGUGACCUGUUUAUUGUGGGUUUGGAGAGCGUAACAGCAAGCGCAGUGAUGCCGCUCUAACGUUUCCAGGAUCUCUUUCAAGGCAAGUGCGCAGAUUUGGUGCACGGUGAAGUGUCCCAUGUGCUCCUGGUAAAUACAGAAGCUGCCUUCGUGGAUGUGGCCUGGUUGCCAUGAGCAGUACAGUUCUUUAAACCAGAUUCUAUAGCAAAACAAAAGCUCUACUGUACAAGUGCUUGAUUUUUCUUUUUUUUACUAGAACUGCCAUAAUAUUAGGAGGAAAAAAAAAUGAGGCUUCUUUGCUCAUUAUGAGAAGAAAAAAUGGUAAAAUACAUACGGGAAGAAAAAUGGCUCUUUUUCUAAUGGCCCCAUUAUUGGAAGGGUCACUGUGCAAGAUGCGAGUGCAGUCUGCACUGCUCUGGAAUAUUGAGUCUUUAAACUUGUUACCCAUGCAGCCUGUUUGAUGGUUCAAAUGGUCUGCUUUUUCAAGUGGUUUUAAGUAAUGCCUCACUGAUUGAAUUAUAAUUUUCCUGACUUUGUAAUUGCCAAGAAUGUCCUUGGCAAAAUAUACAUACAAUGUGUUUCAUCCAGUUUUGAAAAGUAUUUUGUAAUCAGAACAAUAAAAGUUAAUGUUCAUCAGUUCCUCCCACCGCACUUUCAACGAUUCACUUGUUUUCAUGUCCUGCUUUUCUUUCUCCCUUUUUUUGGCGUUCUUACGUUGUUUUUUCCUCCCCUUUCUUUUCAUUCUCCUUGUCCCUCAGUCACCCUCAUCUUUAUACCUUAAGUUUGUUUGCCUUUUAUUUAUAGGUUUUUAUCAGAUGUGUGCACCUACUUGUUGCAAGCUUCCUUACAAUGUCUGAGCCUUUAGGAUAGUUGAGAAUCUCUUAAUCUGGAAAUUCUGUUCCUACUUUUUGUAUUCAUAAUAUAACCCAGCACAAUUCUGGAGACUAAAAACUGCUGAGGAUUAUUUUUGUUUUUUAAACACUGAAAACCAGGGUUUUGUAUUUUCUUUAAUAUAGAGCUGUGGGUGAUGUGUCUUAGUCAGGUUUCCCAUGCUGAAAGACCUUAUUGUCUUUUAUGGGGUGAUGCUUUACACGUUCAAAACAAAGCAAAACCAGACAAACAAAGAUAACGUUACUGUAAGGAUGUUGUAAAAGAAACGGUAAGUUAGUUGCUAGGUGGUGUAAAAACUGAGUAGCGUUCAGUUAUAUGUGUAGAAAUGAGCUAGAGUUUUCAAAGUAUUACACAGGAAGGUAAUGGGGAGGUUUCAUCUGAAGAGCUGUCUGCUAUACUCUUCUAAAUGUUGGUGUGCAGCUCAGGCUGUGCUGUAGAUUUACCCCAUGCCAUAACAUGGCCUACAAGUAACUGGCCUGUGAAGAGUUUCUUUUUGAAUUGCAUUAGUUGUUUUUAUGUUUAGAAAAAGAAGUAGCUGGCAAGUGCCCGUGUUUUUUCUUUGCUCAUGUUUAAGCAAAUACAAGGCCUUUGUAAUAUGGGAGGUUCUUGUUUCAUGCUAUUUCUUCCUAUGUAUAUAAACAAACCUUGUGGAAUACUGCAAAGCUCUCUGUAGGACAUGCCCAUUAAAGUCAUUUGUGUUUAUGCUAUGCAUCAAAAAGUUAUGUGUACAGUAAUAAUGUAAAAGUCAAGUCCAUCCACAUGGUUUUUAGAUGAUGCUUCCUAAACUGCCCAAAGGAUAUCUAAUGAAAUAUGUAAUAUGUCAAAGCAAUCUGUACUAAUAGCUGCAUAACAUUCAUUUUGCCUGUGCCUAGUAUGAAUAAUAUAAAAAUCCCAACAGAGUAAGGAUGUGCAUCAGGUGAACUUUUUGGUACUGUUGAGAGUCUGGGGAAGGAUGGUGAUGCAGAACGGUGACAGGGACCUGAGAGCUACCUUACGUCCUGAGUGAAGCAUCUGCAAAGUGAUCUCUACAUGACAGCCACGGUCUGUCAUGAGGAAGAGCUGGAAGUGUGGGUGCAGAGUGCUUUUGGGGAAUAAGCAGCUGCUGAGUCAUGCUUUCACUCGAAUGACUGACAACCCUUGCUUAUACUAAGAACUGGUAGACCUUCUCUUCUGUGUAUCGGGUGAGCAGUGUUACGCCCCUUACUUAGGAAGUGAAAGCAUGACGCAGCGUUACAGCCGACUUUGUUGAAAAUGCUUAUGCAGAGGAAUGGAAAUGUGUUUAUGCAGCCAUGUAAAGCAAAUCAAAAUCUAUCCACAUUAAAUUAUUUACUGGCAGUAAUGAUUUGUUAUUAAAGAAAAUAAUAUAAUAGUGUUCAUUUCAAUGUGCUGAACUAGCAGUUUUGCAGUGCAGUUAUUCAAAGGGAAUUUUGCCUGAGUAUAUGACUAGUAAUAGAACUGAGAGAGGCAUGGUGCUCUCUGUUGGCAGUUUCCUGAAGAAAGAAAAAUAUGUACAUAACUAGAGUGGUUAAGUCUAACCUAGAUAAUGUACACUUUAUGAUACCAAUAUAUAACCUAUAUUGAAUAGUUUAUGAGGCCAAAAUAAAUUAUAGGAAGCUGUAAACAUUGCCUUCCUCUUCGUAAAUGUAGGAAGGUUUUAUUAUGGAACUAUAAAUAUGUCCAGUACAUUUAUUUCCCUCCUAUAUGAUGUUUUAAAUUCUCUUUUCCUUGAAUGUGUAAGUAUGUAUUUGGAUUGUGACAAGCAGAGUCCAGUUUACAUUUACAGAAGUAUUUGCAGGUGUUACUUAAUUUAAAAUCCUCUAAGUUGUUAAUGUUGCUGCUAGAAGCAUAAUUAUUCAGUAGACAGCACAGUACUUCAUAUUUCAUUUAA